ACGGGUGAGUAACACGUGGGUUACCUGCCCCGAUGACCGGGACAACCCGAGGAAACUCGGGCUAAUACCGGAUGUGCUCUUCGGAGGAAAGGAAGCUUCGGCCUCCGCAUCGGGAUGGGCCCGCGGCGCAUUAGCUAGUUGGUGGGGUAACGGCCUACCAAGGCGACGAUGCGUAGCUGGUCUGAGAGGACGAUCAGCCACACUGGAACUGAGACACGGUCCAGACUCCUACGGGAGGCAGCAGUGGGGAAUCUUGCGCAAUGCACGAAAGUGUGACGCAGCAACGCCGCGUGCGGGAAGAAGGUCUUCGGAUCGUAAACCGCUUUCAGUUGGGACGAGGGUCAGCUGGUGAAUAGCCAGUCUGACUGACGGUACCUUCAGAAGAAGCCCCGGCUAACUACGUGCCAGCAGCCGCGGUAAUACGUAGGGGGCAAGCGUUAUCCGGAAUCAUUGGGCGUAAAGCGCGUGUAGGCGGUUCACCAAGUCCGCUCUGAAAGCCCAGGGCUCAACCCUGGGAGGCGGGUGGAUACUGGUGGACUAGAGUCCGGAAGAGGAGAUUGGAAUUCCUGGUGUAGCGGUGAAAU
rnacentral:rRNA from 1 species